rnacentral:rRNA from 1 species
AUGGACUUGGAUCAGCAAAGAUAUUAUUAUCUCACCAUGUUGUGGCGGAGAACUCUGUCUGUCAUUGUUCUUCUCUUGGCUCUUUGGUAUAGAAACAAAGAUGGUAGAAAAUUUAGAAGUGGAGGAAGAAAGUAUGGUCCACUAGUUGAGAGAGACAUCUACAGAACUAAUGUCCUGGUUAGGCUAAUUGACACAUCCGAUGCAAUAUGUAUCAAGCAACUGCGGAUGUCUCGAGCUGUGUUUUACAAGCUAUGCAUUAGGCUCAGGCAGAAAAAGUUGUUAAUUGAUACACUACAUGUUUCAGUAGAGGAACAAGUAGCAAUGUUCCUAUACAUGAUCGGUCAGCAUCACACAAAUUCAUCCAUUGGAUUUUGGUUCUGGAGAUCUAGUGAAACAGUGAGCAGAUAUUUCAAUAUUGUUCUUCGUGCAAUGGGGGAGUUAGCUUGUGAUCUCAUUUACAUUAGAUCAACGGACACACACACAAAAAUCACUAGCAGCCCGGACAGAUUCUACCUGUAUUUUGAGGGAUGCAUAGGGGCACUAGAUGGCACUCAUGUUAAGGCUUGUGUUCCUGCCCACAUGGUCGACAAGUUUAGGGGCCGCAAGUCAUACCCCUCCCAAAAUGUGCUAGCAGUUGUUGACUUCGACCUUCGAUUCACAUAUGUUCUAGCUGGUUGGGAGGGCUCUGCCCAUGAUUCUCUUGUGCUAAAAGAUGCCCUCACACAUCCAGGGGGAUUAAAAAUACCCGAAGGGAAAUAUUUCUUGGCUGAUGCUGUAUGCUGCGAGGCCAGGGAUAUUACCUCCUUAUCGUGGUGUGCGCUACCACCUAAAUGA